rnacentral:rRNA from 1 species
UACAGAGGUCUCAAGCGUUUGUUCGGAUUCAUUGGGCGUAAAGGGUGCGUAGGUGGCGCCGUAAGUCAGGUGUGAAAUUUCGGAGCUUAACUCCGAAACUGCAUUUGAUACUGCGGUGCUUUGAGGACUGGAGAGGAGACUGGAAUUCACGGUGUAGCAGUGAAAUGCGUAGAUAUCGUGAGGAAGACCAGUGGCGAAGGCGGGGUCUCUGGACAGUUCCUGACACUGAGGCACGAAG